UGCGUAUAUAUCACGUUCAAACACCGGUUCUCGUCAGAACCCCUAAAUGAAGCAACAUCGGGCCAAGUCAGUACCUAGACGGGUAACCGCUUGGGAAAACCAGG